rnacentral:lncRNA from 1 species
UGGUAAUCAGGAUGGCAGUGAGGCAGGCACUUGCUUGCAGAAGAACAGGCCUAGUUUUUUAAGAAGCCACAAAAGUGUCUUUGGAUGAUUAGGAUCUAAGGGGCCAACAGCUUUGCAAUAACAGCAUAAAUAUUGUGGGCUGGAUGGACAGGCACCAAAUGGGGACAUUCCAUCCUGCUGUGUGAUGAGAAAGCUGCCACUUCUGAGGCCUUCCAAAACAAAUCAACACUCCAUAUGCCAGAAGGAAAAGCCCAGGAAAGACCUAUUCCAACUGGAGAUGGAAUAUGAAGGGAGAAUGAAACAAAACUGCUCCGCUCAGGGAACUUGGAAAGGAAAUUGAAAAGGCAAGGCACAGGCUGGAAGAAAAUAUUUGAAAAAGAUUUAUGUGAACUUCUUUCUGGAUUAUACAAAAUAUUUUUAGAUAUUCUUACAACUCUAAAAUAAGAUAACUCCUUAAAAAUGUGAAUUCUACCAAAGGAGAGAUGAAGAUGACGAAUAUAUUCAAAGAUGCUGAAAAUCACUUAUUUAUUAUUAGGAAGUUACAAGCUAAAGCAUAAUGAGAUACCACUACAACCUACUAAACUGACUAAAAUUAAUCAGACUAACCAGGUGUUGGCAAGAAACAGGGACACUGAGACUCUCACACUGCUGGAAGGAAUGUAAAAUGCUAAAACUUCUUUGGAAAUGAGUUCAGUAACUUUUUAAACAGUUGAAAAUAGACCUAUCAUGCAAACCAGCAAUCCCACUUCUAGGUAUUUAUACAAGGAAAAUGACAACAUAUGCCCACAUAAAGACUUGUGCACAAAUGACGGUAGCAGCUUUGUGAUAAUUGCUAAAAACUAGAAACUUGUCAAGUGUCCAACAGGUGAGUGGACAAACUCACUAUAGUAUAUCCAUACAAUUAAGUACUAAAUAGCAAUAAAAAGGAACUAUUAAUACAUUUGACAAUAUGGAUGUAGAUUAUAAUACUAUGCUGAGAUAAAGAACCCAAAGAUUUUAUACGUAUGAUUCAAUUUCUAUAAACCGUUAGAAAAUGAAAACUAACUGGAGUGGUAGAAAGUAAACCAGUGAUUGCCUGGGUAUGGGGGAGGUGUGUAUGGGGGAUGUGUAAGGGGGGUUAGAUUAUAAAGGAACAUAAGAAAACUUUGGGCUAUGAUGGAUAUAUUUAUUAUUUUAAAUGUAGUUGUGGUUUCACAGGUGUAUACCUGUAUCAAAUCUCAUCAAAUUAUAUACUUCAAACAUAUACAGUUUAUUAUACAUCAAAUAUACCCCAAU